rnacentral:rRNA from 1 species
AACGAACGCUGGCGGCAUGCCUAACACAUGCAAGUCGAACGAGACCUUCGGGUCUAGUGGCGCACGGGUGCGUAACGCGUGGGAACCUGCCCUUAGGUUCGGAAUAACUCCCCGAAAGGGGUGCUAAUACCGGAUAAUGUCUUCGGACCAAAGAUUUAUCGCCUUUGGAUGGGCCCGCGUUGGAUUAGCUAGUUGGUAGGGUAAAAGCCUACCAAGGCGACGAUCCAUAGCUGGUCUGAGAGGAUGAUCAGCCACACUGGGACUGAGACACGGCCCAGACUCCUACGGGAGGCAGCAGUGGGGAAUAUUGGAAAAUGGGGGAAAGCCUGAUCCAGCAAUGCCGGGUGAGUGAUGAAGGCCUUAGGGUUGUAAAGCUCUUUUACACGGGAUGAUAAUGACAGUACCGGGAGAAUAAGCUCCGGCUAACUCCGUG